GGGUCCGUGGUCUAGUUGGUUAUGACGUCGCCCUCACAUGGCGGAGGUCGCCGGUUCGAAUCCGGCCGGGCCCA
rnacentral:ncRNA from 15 species